CCUACGGGUGGCAGCAGUCGAGAAUCAUUCACAAUGGGGGAAACCCUGAUGGUGCGACGCCGCGUGGGGGAAUGAAGGUCUUCGGAUUGUAAACCCCUGUCAUGUGGGAGCAAAUUAAAAAGAUAGUACCACAAGAGGAAGAGACGGCUAACUCUGUGCCAGCAGCCGCGGUAAUAGGGAGGUCUCAAGCGUUGUUCGGAAUCACUGGGCGUAAGGCGUGCGUAGGCGGUUUCGUAAGGCGUGUGUGAAAGGCGCGGGCUCAACCCGCGGACGGAACAUGAUACUGCGAGACUAGAGUAAUGGAGGGGGAACCGGAAUUCUCGGUGUAGCAGGGAAAUGCGUAGAUAUCGAGAGGAACACUCGUGGCGAAGGCGGGUUCCUGGACAUUAACUGACGCUGAGGCACGAAGGCCAGGGGAGCGAAAGGGAUUAGAUACCCGUGUAGUC
rnacentral:rRNA from 1 species